rnacentral:rRNA from 1 species
GGGGAAUAUUGCACAAUGGGGGAAACCCUGAUGCAGCGACGCCGCGUGGAGGAAGAAGAUCUUCGGAUUGUAAACUCCUGUUGUUGAGGAAGAUAAUGACGGUACUCAACAAGGAAGUGACGGCUAACUACGUGCCAGCAGCCGCGGUAAAACGUAGGUCACAAGCGUUGUCCGGAAUUACUGGGUGUAAAGGGAGCGCAGGCGGGAGAACAAGUUGGAAGUGAAAUCCAUGGGCUCAACCCAUGAACUGCUUUCAAAACUGUUUUUCUUGAGUAGUGCAGAGGUAGGCGGAAUUCCCGGUGUAGCGGUGGAAUGCGUAGAUAUCGGGAGGAACACCAGUGGCGAAGGCGGCCUACUGGGCACCCAACUGACGCUGAGGCUCGAAAGUGUGGGUAGCAAACAGGAUUAGAUACCCUGGUAGUCCACACCGUAAACGAUGAUUACUAGGUGUUGGAGGAUUGACCCCUUCAGUGCCGCAGUUAACACAAUAAGUAAUCCACCUGGGGAGUACGACCGCAAGGUUGAAACUCAAAGGAAUUGACGGGGGCCCGCACAAGCAGUGGAGUAUGUGGUUUAAUUCGACGCAACGCGAAGAACCUUACCAAGUCUUGACAUCCCUUGACGAUGCUGGAAACAGUAUUUCUCUUCGGAGCAAGGAGACAGGUGGUGCAUGGUUGUCGUCAGCUCGUGUCGUGAGAUGUUGGGUUAAGUCCCGCAACGAGCGCAACCCUUAUGGUCAGUUACUACGCAAGAGGACUCUGGCCAGACUGCCGUUGACAAAACGGAGGAAGGUGGGGAUGACGUCAAAUCAUCAUGCCCUUUAUGACUUGGGCUACACACGUACUACAAUGGCGUUAAACAAAGAGAAGCAAGACCGCGAGGUGGAGCAAAACUCAGAAACAACGUCCCAGUUCGGACUGCAGGCUGCAACUCGCCUGCACGAAGUCGGAAUUGCUAGUAAUCGUGGAUCAGCAUGCCACGGUGAAUACGUUCCCG